GCGAGGCCCGGGGGCAACUCCGGAGUCGAGCGGCGAACGGGUGAGUAACGCGUGGAUGACCUGCCCUUCAGCGGGGAAUAACCCGGGGAAACUCGGGCUAAUACCGCAUACGACCGAGAGGUGAAAGCGGGGUCGCAAGAUCUCGUACUGAAGGAGGGGUCCGCGUCCGAUUAGCUAGUUGGUAGGGUAAUGGCCUACCAAGGCGACGAUCGGUAGCCGGCCUGAGAGGGUGAUCGGCCACACUGGAACUGAAACACGGGCCAGACUCCUACGGGAGGCAGCAGUGGG
rnacentral:rRNA from 1 species